GGUUGCGAUCAUAACAGCACUAAUGCACCGUAUCCCAUCAGAACUCCGUAGUUAAGCGUGCUUGGGCGAGAGUAGUACUAGGAUGGGUGACCCCCUGGGAAGUCCUCGUGUUGCAACCC
rnacentral:rRNA from 1 species